GAUGAACGCUAGCGACAGGCUUAACACAUGCAAGUCGAGGGGCAUCACGGGAGUAGCAAUACAACUGGUGGCGACCGGCGCACGGGUGAGUAACGCGUAUGCAACCUACCUAUCAGAGGGGAAUAACCCGGCGAAAGUCGGACUAAUACCGCAUAAAACAGGGGCACCGCAUGGUGAUAUUUGUUAAAGAAAUUCGCUGAUAGAUGGGCAUGCGUUCCAUUAGGUAGUUGGUGAGGUAACGGCUCACCAAGCCGACGAUGGAUAGGGGAACUGAGAGGUUGGUCCCCCACACUGGUACUGAGAUACGGACCAGACUCCUACGGGAGGCAGCAGUGAGGAAUAUUGGUCAAUGGGCGGGAGCCUGAACCAGCCAAGUCGCGUGAAGGAAGAAGGAUCUAUGGUUCGUAAACUUCUUUUGCAGGGGAAUAAAGUGCGGGACGUGUCCUGUUUUGUAUGUACCCUGAGAAUAAGGAUCGGCUAACUCCGUGCCAGCAGCCGCGGU
rnacentral:rRNA from 1 species